rnacentral:rRNA from 1 species
CGUGAAAUUGUUGAAAGGGAAACGCUUGAAGUCAGUCGCGUUAGUUGGGGAUCAGCCUUCCUUUUGGUUGGUGUACUUCCCAGUUGACGGGUCAGCAUCAGUUUUGACCAGUGGAUAAAAGCUUGAGGAAUGUGGCAUCUUCGGGUGUGUUAUAGCCUCUUGUUGUAUACAUUGGUUGGGACUGAGGAAUUCAGCACGCCGCAAGGCCGGGUUUUUAACCACGUUCGUGCUUAGGAUGCUGGCAUAAUGGC